GAUGAACGCUGGCUACAGGCUUAACACAUGCCAGUCGAGGGGAAACGACGGGGAAGCUUGCUUCCCCGGGCGUCGACCGGCGCACGGGUGAGUAACGCGUAUCCAACCUGCCUCUGACUGAGGGAUAACCCGUCGAAAGUCGGCCUAAUACCCCAUGGCAUCGUCUGCGGGCAUCCAACGACGAUUAAAGAUUUCAUCGGUCAGGGAUGGGGAUGCGUCUGAUUAGCUUGUUGGCGGGGUAACGGCCCACCAAGGCUACGAUCAGUAGGGGUUCUGAGAGGAAGGUCCCCCACAUUGGAACUGAGACACGGUCCAAACUCCUACGGGAGGCAGCAGUGAGGAAUAUUGGUCAAUGGGCGGGAGCCUGAACCAGCCAAGUAGCGUGCAGGAUGACGGCCCUAUGGGUUGUAAACUGCUUUUAUGCGGGGAUAAAGUGAGGGACGUGUCCUUCAUUGCAGGUACCGCAUGAAUAAGGACCGGCUAAUUCCGUG
rnacentral:rRNA from 1 species